rnacentral:rRNA from 1 species
AGGACGAACGCUGGCGGCGUGCCUAACACAUGCAAGUCGAACGAGGUCCAAGGAAGCUUGCUUCCUGAAGACCUAGUGGCGAACGGGUGAGUAACACGUGAGAAACCUGCCUCGGAGUGGGGAAUAACUCGGGGAAGCUCGAGCUAAUACCGCAUACCUUCACAUGAUCGCAUGGUCGAGUGAAGAAAGAAUUUCGCUCUGAGAGGGUCUCGCGGCCUAUCAGCUUGUUGGUGGGGUAACGGCCUACCAAGGCAACGACGGGUAGCUGGUUUGAGAGAACGAUCAGCCACACUGGGACUGAGACACGGCCCAGACUCCUACGGGAGGCAGCAGUGGGGAAUCUUGCGCAAUGGGCGAAAGCCUGACGCAGCAACGCCGCGUGCGGGAUGACGGCCUUCGUGGUUGUAAACCGCUUUCAGCAGGGACGAAAAUGACGGUACCUGCAGAAGAAGCCCCGGCUAACUACGUG